AUUUUGAACUCCCUCCAAAUUCUCCCUCCUUCCCCAUUUUAGCCAUAUUUUAGGUUUCCCCAAAUAAUUAUAAAUAUUAGUGAAAAGCUACCUCCGAACUCCCAAAUUAACCGCUUCUCACCAUUGACGACAAUUCGGUGCAGCAGUCCAUCGAACGCCCACAUCUACUCUCUUAUCGACCGCCAAUCACCACCACGCCACACAGAAAAAAACCAAUUUAGAACCUAUUUUAGUGACCCUGAAAUCCCGAAAUCUCAUACAUGUCAUUGGAAUCGAUUCUUUUGAUAUAUUUUUGCAGGUUUUUGGAUAUACAUUAAUAGUUUUUAUUAGCUUAAACAACAUUCAGGCAACACCCAUCGAAGUGUCUUCAAUACAUCAACAUUUGAGGUUUCAAGGCCUACUUUAUAUGAAGGUGGGAUAUGGUCUUGUUUGGAAUCUUUUUGGGGUUGUCCUUUCACCUGGACGGUUAACUACUAUGGGAGCUGAGAGAACCAAUGUGCAUCAAUAAACAAUCUUUAGGUAUCCCUGGCUUAACGACAUUUGGACCUUUCAGUUCCCUCUCGUUCUCUAGAUUAUUAGGAAAAUCACACCAAUUGCUACUUUUGUAUAUGCUCAUUUUCAAGUAAUCAUAAUCCAUAUAUUUUUGCUUUUGUCGUCCA